CCAUGGCGGCAGCUCUGAUCCUGUGUCGCAGCCGCCGCCCAUGCUGUUCCUCUAUGGAACGUGGUGCAACAGUGGCGUGAUGCUGCGCAGGCGCUUGUGCAUGGUGAGGAGGUUGCUGACCAGCUGCGAGAGCUACGCCACGGCAGCCUCGACAUGGCUUAUCGGGUGUCCUGGUUGCCUAGCGCCGCGCCGAGUGAUGCGUGGAGGUCGUCCUCCGAGAGCCGCGCCGCCGGUCGAUGCCCACCGGGAGCCGCAUCGCCGUAGAUUGAGGCGAGGAGCGUGGGCAGCGGAGAAGAAGCAGGGGAGGAGAGAGAGACGUGGGGAGAGGGAGUGAAUAGGAUGGGACAUAAGGUUGGGAUGGAUCCCACUCGUCAGUGACUAUAGGAGUGGGUAAAAUAGAUUUGAGUAGAAAAUAUAGAUAGACUGGUAUAUAGAGGAUGAGAUAUAGAGUAUGAUGAGUGCGGAUAGCCUUAGUUUCUUUUAGUUUUAGUUCUGUAGUGGCAUCGGUGAGGUGGUGGUGACGGUGAGGUUGUGGAGCAAGGUCUCUCCGGUUUUUUCUCUACCUUGACAACGUUUGAUGCUGUGCCCAGGAAGGGUUAGUGAGCAUUGGUUCUGCUAAUCUGAAGGUUCUUUUCAGAUUCUUGCAGUUGGUAUGUCAAUCGGGAGAUGCAGUUGACUAUCUUUUGUUGCAUCAACUUCAACCUCUUUCUUCGAUUUGUUAUGCGACAAGAUCCAGUUUCUUGAACCCUCUGUUUUGGGGUGUUCGCCUAGCUGAUGUUCUUUCAGUAGUUGCUAGAUCUUAUUGUUGGCAGCGUGUAGUUUUUGCGGUCUUUAAAGUCUUAUGCGGAGAUGGCGUUUGCAGGUGUCCCUUUCCCUUGUUGACUUUCCAAUGCUUUUUUCAAGCACCAGUGGACGGAACAAUCGAAUGAAUAAUACGAAGAACUUUACAAUCCAUGUGGGGAGUCAAAUAUGGCCUCCAUUAUUGUCAAAGCCCUAUAUGUAGCUUCUAGCUUGAAUGGUGAGUUAUGCAGUUGUGGAGCACUUAUCAUUUUGCUAAGAAUCAAGUGCUCUUUAAAAGUCUACUUGUGUGCUGUACUGAACCCGUCUAGCCUUCAGUUAUGUGAAGGCUAUCGCCAAUGAACACCUCCUUUAUGCUGUAACCACUAAUAUGCUUACUUCUUCCCUAAUUAGCUGCAGCUUUAAGAUGCCUACGGCAAUGACAUGUUUACUGUAUGAACCAAUAUUGUUAACAUGAGCCCAUCAAAAUCUUUAUUUGUC